rnacentral:rRNA from 1 species
UACGGGGGGGGCAAGCGUUGUUCGGAAUUACUGGGCGUAAAGGGCUCGUAGGCGGCCCACUAAGUCCGACGUGAAAUCCCCAGGCUUAACUUGGGAACUGCGUCGGAUACUGGUGGGCUUGAAUCCGGGAGAGGGAUGCGGAAUUCCGGGUGUAGCGGUGGAAUGCGUAGAGAUCCGGAAGAACACCGGUGGCGAAGGCGGCCUGCUGGGCAGUGACCGUAAGGUCUUAAAAGCUGACGCUGAGGCGCGACAGCGUGGGGAGCAAACAGG